UCUUACUUAUUUUGUUUCACUUAAUUAAAACUGUCACAUCAACAUUUGAUGAUAUCUUUACAUCAUCACCAUCAUUUACGGAAGCGAUUAGCAUGAAAUUUAUUUUUGAGUAAGUUGAUCAAUUGAUCAAUGAAGUGUUGACACGCAGACGAGGUUAUAUGUAUAUCAGUAUUUUAUUGAUCAAUUAACCAACUUAUCAAAAAAUAAACUUCACGCUAACCAUCAUCUACGGUCAUCUUUCACUUUACUAACCGCCGAUCAAAAACACACUUUGAGGUUGCUAGCCACAAACCCCUUCUGUAAUCGACAAAAAAAGAAGAAUAUGGUGGUGAAAUCUCGUUUCAAGGGUAGCUUUGUAGUCUAUUAAUUUGGUUUACUAGCAAUUUUUCUUCUCUUUCCUCUUCAACUUGGAGUCGAUGGCGCUGCUUGUCGUCGAUACUCGUUGGCGGUGGUCCGACUAACUCGUCGAUGGAUUUGGGCUUGUAGACUACCUUGUAAAUUGGUGUUGGUUUGAGAUCGAUGCACGCUCUAAUCCUUUAAAAAUGUAUUCUCUGUCAUGCGUGUAUACAAGAUGAUCCGGCUAGGAGUGGUGGUGGGCUGUGAAAUCUGAAAUAGACUUUGUGAAAAGAAAUGUAAUUUGAUUUUAACGUUUUUGUCC
rnacentral:lncRNA from 1 species